UUGGGGGGACCGCAAGACCUUGCGCUGAUUGAGCGGCCGAUAUCAGAUUAGCUAGUUGGUGAGGUAAAAGCUCACCAAGGCGACGAUCUGUAGCGGGUCUGAGAGGAUGAUCCGCCACACUGGAACUGAGACACGGUCCAGACUCCUACGGGAGGCAGCAGUGGGGAAUUUUGGACAAUGGGGGCAACCCUGAUCCAGCCAUGCCGCGUGAGUGAAGAAGGCCUUCGGGUUGUAAAGCUCUUUCAGCCGGGAAGAAAAUGCAUGGGUUAAUACCCUGUGCAGAUGACGGUACCGGAAUAAGAAACACCGGCUAACUACGUGCCAGCAGCCGCGGUAAUACGUAGGGUGCGAGCGUUAAUCGGAAUUACUGGGCGUAAAGCGUGCGCAGGCGGUUUUGUAAGACAGGCGUGAAAUCCCCGGGCUUAACCUGGGAACUGCGUUUGUGACUGCAAGGCUAGAGUACGGCAGAGGGGGGUGGAAUUCCACGUGUAGCAGUGAAAUGCGUAGAGAUGUGGAGGAACACCAAUGGCGAAGGCAGCCCCCUGGGUCGAUACUGACGCUCAUGCACGAAAGCGUGGGUAGCAAACAGGAUUAGAUACCCUGGUAGUCCACGCCCUAAACGAUGUCAACUAGGUGUUGGGAGGGUAAAACCUUUUAGUACCGUAGCUAACGCGAGAAGUUGACCGCCUGGGGAGUACGGCCGCAAGGUUAAAACACAAAGGAAUUGACGGGGACCCGCACAAGCGGUGGAUGAUGUGGAUUAAUUCGAUGCAACGCGAAAAACCUUACCUACCCUUGACAUGUCAGGAACUUUCCAGAGAUGGAUUGGUGCUCGAAAGAGAACCUGAACACAGGUGCUGCAUGGCUGUCGUCAGCUCGUGUCGUGAGAUGUUGGGUUAAGUCCCGCAACGAGCGCAACCCUUGUCGUUAAUUGCCAUCAUUCAGUUGGGCACUUUAACGAGACUGCCGGUGACAAACCGGAGGAAGGUGGGGAUGACGUCAAGUCCUCAUGGCCCUUAUGGGUAGGGCUUCACACGUCAUACAAUGGUCGGUACAAAGGGUCGCCAACCCGCGAGGGGGAGCCAAUCCCAUAAAGCCGAUCGUAGUCCGGAUUGUAGGCUGCAACUCGCCUGCAUGAAGUCGGAAUCGCUAGUAAUCGUGGAUCAGCAUGUCACGGUGAAUACGUUCCCGGGUCUUGUACACACCGCCCGUCACACCAUGGGAGCGGGUUCCGCCAGAAGUAGGUAGCCUAACCGCAAGGGGGGCGCUUACCACGGCGGGGUUCGUGACUGGGGUGAAGUCGUAACAAGGUAGCCGUAGGGGAACCUGCGGCUG
rnacentral:rRNA from 1 species